CCAAUAGCGUAUAUUAAAGUUGUUGCAGUUAAAAAGCUCGUAGUUGAAUUUCGGGGUUUAUCCGUUGGUCGGGCUUUUGGGUCUGUACUGGCGUGAUGGAUUCCUACCUUCUGAAUAACCAGCAUGUCAUUAAUUUGGUGCGUUGGGGAAGCAGGACUGUUACCUUGAAAAAAUUAGAGUGCUUAAAGCAGGCUAUUGCCUGAAUACAUUAGCAUGGAAUAAUGAAAUAGGACGCAUGGUUCUAUUUUGUUGGUUUCUAGGAUCACCGUAAUGAUUAAUAGGGAUAGUUGGGGGCAUUAGUAUUCAAUUGUCAGAGGUGAAAUUCUUGGAUUUAUUGAAGACUAACUUCUGCGAAAGCAUUUGCCAAGGAUGUUUUCAUUAAUCAAGAACGAAAGUUAGGGGAUCGAAGACGAUCAGAUACCGUCGUAGUCUUAACCAUAAACUAUGCCGACUAGGGAUCGGACGAUGUUAAUUUUUUAAUGACUCGUUCGGCGCCUUACG
rnacentral:rRNA from 1 species